UAANGGUUUUUGUAGUUGAGUUA
rnacentral:tRNA from 1 species